UUCAAUUAAAAUAAUAUUUUAAUUAUUCGGAAUAGGUUAGAAAAUUUAGAAAUAUUAAUUUAAAAAUUUGAAGGUAAGAUUUGGAUUCAGCAAAUUUUUCCGAGUGGAAAAAUGUAAUUUUCUGCGAAAAAAUAUGUACUGGUAAUUUUGCCAGUAGUACGGGCUUAAGUUUGUCUGGUACUGCGUAUGAGAAAUAAAAACUAUAGAAAUACUUAGAGAAAUAUUUAGAAUAGAAAACCAGACACUUAUUUUAAGGGUUUUGGCCCGAGGUUGGGUCAAAUGAACCAAAAACGAUAACUAGUUGGACCGGACUAAAAUUGGGCCCAAGUCCACCAUAUAUAAAGCCUUAUAUGGCCAUUCAGCUCAUUCAUCACUAAUAAAGGGAGGAACCAGCUGAGAUUGAAGAAGAGAGUGAAACCCGAGUUUCUACUAUCCACCUCCUUCAUUUGAUCAUAUCUUGUGAUUCGGAGCUCCGAUUGGCGUGUCAUUUGCAGAUUGCAGCCAUGCACUCUUCUCGUCGAGCUCUUUAAUUAUAUUGGAAUAAAGUUGUUUGGAUGAGUAGUGGGUUUCACCUCAAAAUUAAUUGGACAAGGUAAUGUAUCACUAAAUCCUUGUGUUUAGUUGAAUAAUAUGAGUCCUAGUGUUAAUUUUGAGUAUAUUGCAUGAAUUAGAUUGAAAUUUAUGUUGCUUAGAGUUACAUUGGUGUUUUGGAGUACUUGGUUUUGAUCUCAAGUGGUGACUGAGCAUUGGUUACUUGUUGGAGACCUGAAAGUUGUGUAGGAGUUGGUAUUUUGUGUUUGGGAGGGAAUCGACCAAGGUAUAGUUUCGAUUUCCUUUAGUUAAUAUAUAAUGUUGUGUGAAACUUAGACUAGUUGUCCUUAAGAUAGGUUUGAAUUGUAUGCAUUGGUUGAUUGAAUAUGUAUGAUAUGUGAUUUAUUGGAUGAGAACGUGGUAUGAGCAUGUUGAAUGAAAAAUUUAUGUGUGAUGAUGAGAUUAAUAAAUGAUAAGAAGGAUUGGGUCGAAUGCCGUGACCGGGUAAGUCGAUAAAAUGAAAUGAAUGAAUAUGGUAAAAGUAUGAUUGUGACGAUAAUUAUUAUUGUGAAUUAUGUUUGGGUUGAUGAUGGUUAGAAUUGUGAACUUAUGAAUUGUUGUUGGGAUUGAAUGGUUUAUUGAGAUGGGUCGAAAUCUAAUUGUUAUUUGUUGAAGGUUUUAGAUCGUUGGAAUUUGAUGGAUGAGUACUUGAAAGUGUGUAUAAGUGCUUAGAAUUGAAAUUUGGUAUGUUUGAAUUGAAUCGGAUUGAAGGUUUUGGAAAUAUAGGAGUUUGGUAUAUUUUGGUAAAAACCUAUUUUUAACCAACUUCAACGGGUCACAACUUGGUUUUUAGACUCCCAAAUUUUAUGAAAUUUAUCUUAAAUAAAAAAUAGGCCCGUGUAGAUUAUGACGUUCGAAGAACGGACGGAAAAUAAUUUUUAAUGAAAAAGUUAUGCGCAUUUGAAAUUUAUAGUUAAAAACUGAAUUCUGCAGAAAUUGCAGGAAAUUGAGGUCAUGCGUACGCAUGACCCAUACGUACGUAUGAUGGCGUUAUAGGAAUAAAAGGGGCUUGUGCGAGUGUUGUGCGCAUACCAUGUGUAUACACAAAAGUAAAGUGUGCAUACCAUGUUGUGCGAGUGUUGCGACGCCAGCGUAAGGACGACGGUUAAUCCCGUUUACGUUGAGAUGUGAGGUCUGAGGCAGUGUAUUUUGCUCGCAUUCUUUCUGGUCACAAGAGUGUGCUCGGACACUAUAUCCCGUAAGAGUGUGCUAGCUAGGGCACUAUAUCCCAGGGCGCAAUUAUAUAUUCGUGAAAGAAAGGCGACAUUCCGAGGGGAUGUAUCGGGUUAGCAGUUGAACCGACAAGUGAUAUCACGGCCAAUAGGACAUGUAUUCAUCAUAUGCAUUCUUAUGUGUUUGUUUGCUUUGUUUACUUGCAUUGUGCCAACUUGUAUAAUAUGUUUACUUGCUAAUUGGAUUACUUUUGGUAUAUGCUAUUACUUGUGUUUUACUUACUUGCAUCUAUCUGUGUUUUCUGCUGGGAUUGAGGAGGCUCAGUAGGCGGUGGCGAUGGGAUCGCAUGGAGGAUAUGUUGGCGAAGACUGUGGGACAGCAGUGUUCUAUAGAAUAGAAAAUUCAUAAGUUAGAUAACCCUCUUUAAAGUUUUACUAUAAGUUGAAUUCAUUUCAUAUUGGUUUGAAGUUUUAGAAUUGCCUUUGCCUUCGCGGAACCUGAUAUCUUAUCUAUUGGGUAAUGUUACCAUAUUGAGACCUCCGAUUUUCAUACCAUAUGUUGUUGUUUUUCAGAUGCAGAUCGCAACCCACCUCGGUGAGUUUGUGGAUGGUGACAAAGUGGAGGAUGGCUCGAGUUUUAUCUUUUGCUUUAUUUUAUUAUAGUAUCUCUCACUUUUGAUUACUGUAUUUUGAUGCUUGAGGGGCUUUAUUUCUGAAAACUUUGAGAGAUAAGACGUGGCUGUUUUUAUUAUCAAAACUAUGUUGUAUCUUGUUUAUCUAGUCGGCGUAAACUCUGCGGGCUGCGACUAGUUACCUUUUGAGAUAUAUAUAACUUGUUUAUCU